GACGAACGCUGGCGGCGUGCCUAACACAUGCAAGUCAAGGGGAAAGUUUGACUUCGGUUGAAUGAGUAUACUGGCGGACGGGUGAGUAACGCGUAGGCAACCUGCCCUAUGGUCAGGGAUAACCCACCGAAAGGUGGACUAAUACCUGAUAAUGCAGCGGGUCCGCAUGGAUAUGUUGUUAAAGUUUGCUCGUAAGAGCACACGCCACAGGAUGGGCCUGCGUUCCAUUAGUUAGUUGGUGAGGUAACGGCUCACCAAGGCAGCGAUGGAUAGCUGGUUUGAGAGAGUGAUCAGCCACACUGGGACUGAGAUACGGCCCAGACUCCUACGGGAGGCAGCAGUGAGGAAUAUUGCGCAAUGGGCGAAAGCCUGACGCAGCAACGCCGCGUGGGGGAUGAAGUUCUAUGGAGCGUAAACCCCUGUAAGCGGGGACGAAAGUUGUAUGUUCGAACAGGGCAUACAUUUGACGGUACCCGCAGAGUAAGCUCCGGCUAACUCCGUGCCAGCAGCCGCGGUAAUACGGGGGGAGCGAGCGUUGUCCGGAAUUACUGGGCGUAAAGGGCGUGUACGCGGUUUGGUAAGUCAGAUGUAAAAGCCCCCGGCUUAACCGGGGAUGGUCAUAUGAAACUGCCGG
rnacentral:rRNA from 1 species